GAUGAACGCUGGCGGCGUGCCUAAUACAUGCAAGUCGAGCGAACGGACGAGAAGCUUGCUUCUCUGAUGUUAGCGGCGGACGGGUGAGUAACACGUGGAUAACCUACCUAUAAGACUGGGAUAACUUCGGGAAACCGGAGCUAAUACCGGAUAAUAUUUUGAACCGCAUGGUUCAAAAGUGAAGGACGGUCUUGCUGUCACUUAUAGAUGGAUCCGCGCUGCAUUAGCUAGUUGGUAAGGUAACGGCUUACCAAGGCAACGAUGCAUAGCCGACCUGAGAGGGUGAUCGGCCACACUGGAACUGAGACACGGUCCAGACUCCUACGGGAGGAAGCAGUAGGGAAUCUUCCGCAAUGGGCGAAAGCCUGACGGAGCAACGCCGCGUGAGUGAUGAAGGUCUUCGGAUCGUAAAACUCUGUUAUUAGGGAAGAACAUAUGUGUAAGUAACUGUGCACAUCUUGACGGUACCUAAUCAGAAAGCCACGGCUAACUACGUG
rnacentral:rRNA from 1 species